rnacentral:rRNA from 1 species
AUUGAACGCUGGCGGCAGGCCUAACACAUGCAAGUCGAGCGGAUGAAGGGAGCUAGCUCCUGGAUUCAGCGGCGGACGGGUGAGUAAUGCCUAGGAAUCUGCCUGGUAGUGGGGGAUAACGUCCGGAAACGGGCGCUAAUACCGCAUACGUCCUGAGGGAGAAAGUGGGGGAUCUUCGGACCUCACGCUAUCAGAUGAGCCUAGGUCGGAUUAGCUAGUUGGUGGGGUAAAGGCCUACCAAGGCGACGAUCCGUAACUGGUCUGAGAGGAUGAUCAGUCACACUGGAACUGAGACACGGUCCAGACUCCUACGGGAGGCAGCAGUGGGGAAUAUUGGACAAUGGGCGAAAGCUGAUCCAGCCAUGCCGCGUGUGUGAAGAAGGUCUUCGGAUUGUAAAGCACUUUAAGUUGGGAGGAAGGGCAGUAAGUUAAUACCUUGCUGUUUUGACGUUACCAACAGAAUAAGCACCGGCUAACUUCGUG